GACGAACGCUGGCGGCGUGCUUAACACAUGCAAGUCGAACGAAGUGGCGAACGGGUGAGUAACGCGUAAUCAACCUGCCCUUCAGAGGGGGACAACAGUUGGAAACGACUGCUAAUACCGCAUACUGAAGGUGGGGCUUGCGUCUGCUUAGCUAGUUGGAGGGGUAACGGCCCACCAAGGCGAUGAUCAGUAGACGGGCUGGGAGGAUGAACGGCAACAUUGGGACUGGAACAAGGCCCAGACUCCUACGGGAGGCAGCAGGGGGGAAACUUACGCAAUGGAGGAAAGUCUGAAGGAGCAACGGCGGGUGAGGGAUGACGGCCUUCGGGGUGUAAAGCUCUGUUAAGCGGGACGCGGUACCGGAAUAGAAAGCCACGGCUAACUACGUGCCAGCAGCCGCGGUAAUUC
rnacentral:rRNA from 1 species